GAUGAACGCUGGCGGCGUGCCUAAUACAUGCAAGUCGAGCGAACAGAUAAGGAGUUUGUUCCUUUGACGUUAGCGGCGGACGGGUGUGUAACAUGUGGAUAACCUACCUAUAAGACUGGUAUAACUUCGGGAAACCGGGGCUAAUGCCGGAUAACAAGUAGAACCGCAGGGUUCUAAAGGGAAAGAUGGUUUUUCUAUCACUUAUAGAUGGACCCGUGCCGUAUUAGCUAGUUGGUAAGCUAACGGCUUACCAAGGCAACUAUACGUAGACGACCUGAGAGGGGGAUAGCCCACCUGGGAACGGAGACACCGUCCAGAGUCCUAAGGGAGGCCGCAGUCGGCAACCUGAGGCAGUGGGCGGAAGCAUGGCACAGCAACGGCGAGCCUGUGAUGAAGGCGCUCGGUUCGUAAAGAUCGGUUACUAGGGAAGAACCACUGUGUGCGUAGAUGUGGCGGUCUUGACGGUACCUGCAGAGAAAGCACCGGCUAACUACGUG
rnacentral:rRNA from 1 species